rfam:Pyramidobacter piscolens W5455 contig00263, whole genome shotgun sequence.
AUAAUCCACAACUGUGAACUUAAGACAGUGGGUACCUUCGGGUACAAAGGCUUGCCGCCCACCGAGGUUCGGAAUGUAAAACGACUUCAUGCCGCGCCGCGCGCGCGUAUUUGGGCGUUCAAUCUUCCCUGCCUGCGGAGGCGGGGAAGAUUUUUUAUUUGAGGA